rnacentral:rRNA from 1 species
GAUAGAGGCCUACCAUGGUGGUAACGGGUAACGGGGUGUUAGGGCACGACACCGGAGAGGGAGCCUGAGAAACGGCUACCACAUCCAAGGAUGGCAGCAGGCGCGCAAAUUACCCAAUCCCGACACGGGGAGGUAGUGACAAUAAAUAACAAUACGGGGUUCUUUCGGAUCUCGUAAUUGGAAUGAGUACAAUUUAAAUCUCUUAACGAGGAACAAUUGGAGGGCAAGUCUGGUGCCAGCAGCCGCGGUAAUUCCAGCUCCAAUAGCGUAUAUUAAAGUUGUUGCAGUUAAAAAGCUCGUAGUUGAAUUUCGGGGUUAGUAGGUUGGUCAUGCCUCUGGUAUAUACUGGUCUCACUGAUUCCUCCUUCCUGAUGAACCGUAAUGCCAUUAAUUUUGUGUUGCGGGGAAUUUGGACUGUUACUUUGAAAAAAUUAGAGUGUUUAAAGCAAGCUAACGCUUGAAUACAUUAGCAUGGAAUAAUGAAAUAGGACGUUCGAUCCUAUUUUGUUGGUUUCUAGGAUUGACGUAAUGAUUAAUAGGGAUAGUUGGGGGCAUUAGUAUUCAAUUGUCAGAGGUGAAAUUCUUGGAUUUAUUGAAGACUAACUACUGCGAAAGCAUUUGCCAAGGAUGUUUUCAUUAAUCAAGAACGAAAGUUAGGGAAUCGAAGACGAUCAGAUACCGUCGUAGUCUUAACCAUAAACUAUGCCGACUAGGGAUCGGAU